rnacentral:rRNA from 1 species
UGGGGAAUUUUGGACAAUGGGGGAAACCCUGAUCCAGCCAUCCCGCGUGUGCGAUGAAGGCCUUCGGGUUGUAAAGCACUUUUGGCAGGAAAGAAACGUCGUGGGUUAAUACCCCGUGAAACUGACGGUACCUGCAGAAUAAGCACCGGCUAACUACGUGCCAGCAGCCGCGGUAAUACGUAGGGUGCAAGCGUUAAUCGGAAUUACUGGGCGUAAAGCGUGCGCAGGCGGUUCGGAAAGAAAGAUGUGAAAUCCCAGAGCUUAACUUUGGAACUGCAUUUUUAACUACCGGGCUAGAGUGUGUCAGAGGGAGGUGGAAUUCCGCGUGUAGCAGUGAAAUGCGUAGAUAUGCGGAGGAACACCGAUGGCGAAGGCAGCCUCCUGGGAUAACACUGACGCUCAUGCACGAAAGCGUGGGGAGCAAACA